rnacentral:misc_RNA from 1 species
AAGACUAUAGACCUGCGGAGUACCUGCGGAGGGAUCAUUAACGAAUCUAAAGUCGGCCCUUCCAGUGCUGGUGAUCACACAUGUGCACGUUGGGGUCGCAAAUCCACACACCUGUGCAUACAUGACUCUGAGUGCCUUACCCUGGUUUGGGAGUCUGACUUUGGUUGGACUGGCGCUCGAGUAUUUUUCACACACUCUGAAUGUAAAGGAAUGUACAUUUUGCAUAACAUGCAAACAAAA